CCCUAAAAUCUGCUUCAUCAGUUCAGGUGAAUCCCAGAAUGGGUGAGGGAAGAGGCCACAGUGGUCAUCUGCUCCCACCUCCCUGCUCCAGCAGGGUCAUCCUAAAGCACACGACGCAGGAUUGCAUCCAGAGGGUUCUGGAAUAUCUCCAGUGAGGGAGACUCCACCCUGCUGUGCAAAGCAGAGGUGGGGGUUCUCACGAUGUCUCUGCGUGUCUCUGCUGCAGGUGUAAUGCAAAAGGGGACCUUGGCCAGCCUGGUGGAGACAGUGAUGCUGCCCGGUGACAGUGCUUCCAGACCAUGCUUGUUCCUGGCUGUGGGUUCACUCCUUGGGGAACACCAGCUCCGGAAGAACUAGCUACUUUCCUGUUUCAAGAUCUAUUCCUGUUCUAUCUUCUGUCUCAUUUCUCCUGAGAAUCUGUCUGCACAUCAAUGCAAUACACUUAGCAGUACAUAUCCCUGUAAAGGAUAGAGGGCUGAGCACUGUGGAAGCAAGGGUGAAUACAAAAAACCUUUUCCAUGAUGUGAAGGGAGAGAAGCCCUUCACCACAAAAACGGAGCUGCUCAGAGCUUUAGAAGAAGCAGAUUGUUACUGAAACUAGAGAAAAGCAGAGUUGUAAGCAGUAAUAUUUUAAAUAAAAAUUUUUAAAUUUUAAGGUAGUAAGCAUGGUAGAAAGAAUUGCAAAGCUGCUAGAAGGUUGCUUUUACUGACUGUGAACAAGUGGAAGAAAUUGCUUCCAUUUUUAAAAGGUACUGUUCUGGGUAAUAUUACCCAAAGUUUUCAGCUCUCAAGUAAACCCCAAACUUCCACCCAGGAGAAAAUCUAUUUUGGAAUCAGCAUUUAAAAAGGAAAAGUGUGGUUUCUAAUGUACUUGUCUUUCCAUUUUGAUUACACUGCCAUUCUAAGAAUACUUGAAGCUGGUGGAAAGUAUAACAUUGGUGCAGUAUACCUGAGUGGCACCAAACCCAAGUUACUUAGUAUUCUGUAUUCAUGCACGAGUGUCUAUGUUCUUGUUGAUGAGGCAAUGUCAGCCUGACUAUAGUUUGGUUCUAACAUUUUUAGAUGUUUGUCUGUGUGUGUUUUCUUUAACCACUACGUUUUUUUAAAAUCUGUGGGCAAAUGAAGUCUUGGGAGAGUGCUUUGCAAGUAAAGGCAAAAGUGGAAGAAAUUUCUGAGAAGGAAAAGAAUAUUAUCAGAGGAUAAUUUAUUGUAGACUGUUCUCAUGUAACUAGAGUUUUGGGGUUUGAAUUUGCCAAUUGUUUUCCAGUGGUUUGGAUUUUCAGUGCCAAUAUGGACACAUGCAUCACUGAGGGCCCAUGAAAGGUUAUGAAUUUUGCCCAAUCCUCUGCUCUGAGCUCAUGGGGGGAUAAAAAAGCCCCAUCUUGUGGCCAGUGAAUAAGCACAGUGAGAGCACGGCAUCCAGGGAUCCCUCAGAUGCUUUUGCCUUGCAGGUGGGUGCAGCUUCCAGCUGGACGUGAACAGGGUACGCAACCUGGGCUGGUGACAGGAGGCAAACUCCUGCUCUUGUCAGGAGCCCCCAGAGGCACUGUGCAGGGCUGUGGUGCCACUGGGGGGUAUCAGGCAGUCCUGGGGCAGCUGGUGUGGUACCAGGUGAUGAAGAACAGGAGCUGAAACCGGUAUGUGUCCUCAUGGACCUUUGCAGCUGCCAAAACAGAGAUGCAGGAGCUCUUCAGCUGUGUGCUUUUUCCCAGGAGACAGGUGGUGUUCUGCUUCUAGAUCUGACUCAGUUUUUGGUUCAGGAUUGGUCACGAGGACAUUGCUGCACGUCUUGAUAGAGCAUCAUUUUGAAAUAAUCCAAGCGGACUUCCACCGUGGCAAUUUUUUUUUCUUCUUCUGUUAGUGAAAUUUAAUUCAUCUUCCUGAAAGCUUCCAUUAUCUGCAGUGUGAGAAAGGAGCAGAGCUAAUGUUAUUGCUUCUGACACUGAACACUGCCAAAAGCAACUUAUAUCAGGCAGUAGUAAAUUUUGGUAUUGGUUGUCUAAUCCAGCAUUGUCAUGUCUAAUCAGCAGAUUGAACAUCUCUAAGAGGUGAAGAGUUUAAAACAUGCUGGAGAGUUCAGGCCUGUGCAUUUUUCUAGACUGAAAUGUCUCAGAACAGGUGAAUACUUGUUAGAGAUAAACUGGGUGCUUUAAACCUGGCUUCGCCCAGGCUGAGCACUGGCAGCUUGGUUCCAAACUGGUCACAAUCACUGCCUCUGACAGUCAGCUGAAGGCUGCCCUGGCAGCUCAAAGGGCUCUGCAUGGUGCACACAUCUGCUGUCUCUUUACUGUUCUAAAAGGCACCACAUCCUUCCCCUAUUCUCCACUUUGGAUGCUCCUUAUGCCUUCUAAAAUUGUUCUUUUCUGCAGGUAAUGUCCAAGUAGUAUAGUACCCCUCUUUUUUUUUUUUUUUCCCCACAGAAAGAAAAUAAUUCCCAUUUCCAAAUUACCCCUAACGUUGUCAUACUUUCUCUGUGAACUUUCCAAUCUCUGUGAGAUUUCUGAUUCAAUGGAGUAAUCAGAAUCAUUGCAACAUUUAUCUUUUCUUUCUAUUCUUGGCUUCACCACAGCUCUUAUUUUCACCAAUUACUCUUUUGGCUGGGGCUGAGCUGUGAUGCCAGCUAAAUUAUUGGUUUCACCUCCACGAAAGCAAAUAAUUGCCUUCAAGUCUGACUGCUAAGCCACGAGGGCUUUAAACAUGGAACAAUGUGUGAUUCCGAACCGCGGGCGCGGAGGCAGCGAUGAGGGGGAGCUGCCUGCCAGCCACCCCGGGCAUCUCCCUGAGAGGCCACCUAUCCCACUAGAGCACAGAAAGAAGGUGGACAGGACAGCCAGGGUUGAUGGAGACAGCAGGCUCCUGGCUGAACCUGUGGAGCCAUGGAAAGAGGAGCCCACACUGUAGCAGGUUUGGUGGCAGGACUUGUGACCCCACGAGGGA